rnacentral:rRNA from 1 species
UACAAACGACUCUCGGCAACGGAUAUCUCGGCUCACGCAACGAUGAAGAACGUAGCAAAAUGCGAUACUUGGUGUGAAUUGCAGAAUCCCGUGAACCAUCGAGUUUUUGAACGCAAGUUGCGCCCGAAGCCUUUUGGCCGAGGGCACGUCUGCCUGGGCGUCACGC